rnacentral:rRNA from 1 species
UACGUAGGGGGCAAGCGUUGUCCGGAAUCAUUGGGCGUAAAGAGCGUGUAGGCGGCCCGAUAAGUCCGCUGUGAAAGUCCAGGGCUCAACCCUGGAAUGCCAGUGGAAACUGUCGGGCUGGAGUCCGGAAGAGGCGAGUGGAAUUCCUGGUGUAGCGGUGAAAUGCGCAGAUAUCAGGAGGAACACCAGUGGCGAAGGCAGCUCGCUGGGACGGUACUGACGCUGAGACGCGAAAGCGUGGGGAGCAAACAGG